CGAGAUCAUGACAUGGCACAUCCAAGGGCAAAGAGAGGAAUUCCUUAGAUUUAAUUUUAGUAGUCAAUUUUCUGUAAUUUUAUUUUAUUUCUAAUUAUUUUUAGUUUUUACUGUGUUUAUCAAAGGCUGAGAAUAUAAGAUCUCAGGCUUUAUUAUAUAGUUUAAAAAGCCACUGCAGCAGUGCUGUUCAUGGUACUGUUCACGCUGCAAUAAUCAUGCCUUAUUAGGGACAAUUUUAGGAUUUUAAAAGAGAGUUGAAUUAUGGUUUCUGUUUUAUUAAAAAAGGGACCCC
rnacentral:lncRNA from 1 species